CAACCUCAACUCAUAUGGGACUACCCCCUGAAUUUAGCAUAUUAAUUAGGGGAAGAAAAGAAACUAACAGGAUUUUCUUAUUGCGGCCAGCGAAAAAAAUCAGUUCAGCACUAAUCACUUUUCUAUUUGGCAAUGUGAAAUCAAGGGAGGGAACGUCAUAUUCUGAAGAAAAA
rnacentral:ncRNA from 1 species